AUGUUUUUAAUGGCUUUUUUGUUUGAACUUUCAACCUAUUGGACGAAAAAACCCCACCCGGUAUUGUUGACAAGUUUGGUUGGUGCACAUGGGACGCCUUCUACCUUAAAGUGCACCCACAGGGUGUCAUUGAGGGUGUCAAGGGUCUAGUUCAAGGCGGAUGCCCACCGGGGCUCGUUGAUAGAAGGGUGCCCAGAGCUUAAUGGAUGGAUAUUGAAGCUAAACGGGAGGUUUUCGGGAAGAUUUAUGAAGGUUUGAAGCUUACACACAAGUUGGGAGUUGAAAAAUGUGAAAAAUGGUGAGAAACCAGUACUUAGCGCAAGAAGAAACCAGUUUGGCGCAAGCCGGUGUCAGUUUUGACGUAAUACAGAUGCAAGUAAGUCAGGGGCGCAACCUUGUACCAUGGGGGCGCAACCUUGCGCUGACAUCAGAUAGCCACACGAAAAUUCAGCAUUUUACUUUAUUUUAAUAUAUCUUCAACCCCAAAACGAGAUUUUCAUUAACCCUAGCCGUUUUCCACUUCCCAAGGACGAAUUUUGGAGUUCCCAACAUCAAUUUUCAUCAAUCUUUCAUGCAAUCAAACAUCCAAGAAAACCAAGAAGAUCAAAUCAUGACUAUGAGUGGCUAGAUUCUUUUGUGACCACCUCCGGGUGGAUGGUUCAUGGAGGCCAUUAUAGCUGCUAUUCCAAGUUA
rnacentral:lncRNA from 1 species